AGUGAACGCUGGCGGCAGGCCUAACACAUGCAAGUCGAACGGUAACAGAGAACGACUUUCUUCUUCCCUGACGCGUGUCGGACGGGUGAGUAAUAUCUAUCAGACUCCCUUAUUUCGUGGGGUAACUCCUAGGAACACUAACGCAUACCCCAUAACCUACCUAGAGCAAAAAGCGGGACCUUAUCGCCCCUUGCCAGCUUAUAUGCCCAGAUGGGAUUAGCUAGUAGGUGGGGUAACGGCGCACCUAGGCGACGAUCCGUAGCUGGUCUGAGAGGAUGAUCAGCCACACUGGAACUGAGACACGGUCCAGACUCCUACGGGAGGCAGCAGUGGGGAAUAUUGGACAAUGGGCGCAAGCCUGAUGCAGCCAUACCGCGUGUAUGAAGAAGGCCUUCGGGUUGUAAAGCCCUUUUGUUGGGGAGGAAGAGAAUAAAGUUAAUACCUUUCCUUACUGACGUUACCCGAAGAAGAAGCACCGGCUAACUUCGUG
rnacentral:rRNA from 1 species